UGACCUCGAAUCAGGUAGGAAUACCCGCUGAACUUAAGCAUAUCAAUAAGCGGAGGAAAAGAAACCAACAGGGAUUGCCCCAGUAACGGCGAGUGAAGCGGCAACAGCUCAAAUUUGAAAUCUGGCCCCCCGGGGCCCGAGUUGUAAUUUGUAGAGGAUGCUUCUGGCGAGGUGCCUUCCGAGUUCCCUGGAACGGGACGCCAUAGAGGGUGAGAGCCCCGUCUGGCUGGACGCCGAGCCUCUGUGAAGCUCCUUCGACGAGUCGAGUAGUUUGGGAAUGCUGCUCUAAAUGGGAGGUAUAUGUCUUCUAAAGCUAAAUACCGGCCAGAGACCGAUAGCGCACAAGUAGAGUGAUCGAAAGAUGAAAAGCACUUUGAAAAGAGGGUUAAACAGUACGUGAAAUUGUUGAAAGGGAAGCGCUCGUGACCAGACGUGGGCCUCGGCGGAUCAUCCAGCGGUCUCCCGCUGGUGCACUCCGCCGGGCCCAGGCCAGCAUCAGUUUGCCCUGGGGGAUAAAGGCUCCGGGAACGUGGCUCCUCCGGGAGUGUUAUAGCCCGCCGCGCAAUACCCUGGGGCGGACUGAGGUUCGCGCAUCUUUUGCUAGGAUGCUGGCGUAAUGGUUAUCAGCGGCCCGUCUUGAAACACGGACCAAGGAGUCGUCUUCGUAUGCGAGUGUUCGGGUGUCAAACCCCUACGCGGAAUGAAAGUGAACGCAGGUGAGAGCCCUCUGGGCGCAUCAUCGACCGAUCCUGAUGUUCUCGGAUGGAUUUGAGUAAGAGCAUACGGGGCCGGACCCGAAAGAAGGUGAACUAUGCCUGUAUAGGGUGAAGCCAGAGGAAACUCUGGUGGAGGCUCGCAGCGGUUCUGACGUGCAAAUCGAUCGUCAAAUAUGGGCAUGGGGGCGAAAGACUAAUCGAACCUUCUAGUAGCUGGUUUCCGCCGAAGUUUCCCUCAGGAUAGCAGUGUUGAUCUCAGUUUUAUGAGGUAAAGCGAAUGAUUAGGGACCCGGGGGCGCUAUAUAGCCUUCAUCCAUUCUCAAACUUUAAAUAUGUAAGAAGCCCUUGUUACUUGACUGAACGUGGGCAUUCGAAUGUAUCAGCACUAGUGGGCCAUUUUUGGUAAGCAGAACUGGCGAUGCGGGAUGAACCGAACGCGAGGUUAAGGUGCCAGAGUAGACGCUCAUCAGACACCACAAAAGGUGUUAGUACAUCUUGACAGCAGGACGGUGGCCAUGGAAGUCGGAAUCCGCUAAGGACUGUGUAACAACUCACCUGCCGAAUGUACUAGCCCUGAAAAUGGAUGGCGCUCAAGCGUCUCACCCAUACCUCGCCCUCAGGGUAGAAACGAAGCCCUGAGGAGUAGGCGGACGUGGGGGUCAGUGACGAAGCCUAGGGCGUGAGCCCGGGUCGAACGGCCUCUAGUGCAGAUCUUGGUGGUAGUAGCAAAUACUUCAAUGAGAACUUGAAGGACCGAAGUGGGGAAAGGUUCCAUGUGAACAGCGGUUGGACGUGGGUUAGCCGAUCCUAAGCCAUAGGGAAGUUCCGUUUCAAAGGCGCACUCGUGCGCCGUCUGGCGAAAGGGGAGCCGGUUAACAUUCCGGCGCCUGGAUGUGGGUUUUGCGCGGCAACGCAACUGAACGCGGAGACGACGGCGGGGGCCCCGAGCAGAGUUCUCUUUUCUUCUUAACGGUCUCUCACCCUGAAAUCGGUUUGUCCGGAGCUAGGGUUUAACGGCCGGAAGAGCCCAGCACCUCUGCUGGGUUCGGUGCGCUCCCGACGUCCCUUGAAAAUCCGCGGGAGGGAAUAAUUCUCACGCCAGGUCGUACUCAUAACCGCAGCAGGUCUCCAAGGUGAACAGCCUCUGGUUGAUAGAACAAUGUAGAUAAGGGAAGUCGGCAAAAUAGAUCCGUAACUUCGGGAUAAGGAUUGGCUCUAAGGGUUGGGUGCGUUGGGCCUUGGGAGGACGCCCUG
rfam:Atta colombica isolate Treedump-2 unplaced genomic scaffold scaffold400, whole genome shotgun sequence.